rnacentral:rRNA from 1 species
UGUGAUCUACCCUUGGUCAGGAUGAAGCCUCGUUAACACGGGGUGGAGGUCCGAACUAGUAAACGUUGAAAAGUUUUUGGAUGAACUGAGGGUAGGGGUGAAAGGCUAAUCAAACUGGGAAAUAGCUCGUACUCCCCGAAAUGCCUUUAGGGGCAGCGUGAGGGUUGAGUUUGUUAGAGGUAGAGCUACCAAUUGGACUAGGGGGAGUCAAAUCCUACCAAAUCCAGAUGAACUCCGAAUGCUAACAAAUAUACCUUGCAGUGAGGGCGCGGGUGCUAAGGUCCGUGUCCGAGAGGGAAAGAACCCAGACCAACAGCUAAGGUCCCAAAAUCUACACUAAGUUGAACUAAGGCGGUUCAGUUGCUUAGACAGCCAGGAUGUUUGCUUGGAAGCAGCAAUUCAUUUAAAGAGUGCGUAACAGCUCACUGGUCGAGCGACAGAGCAUCGAUAAUAAUCGGGCAUCAAGUGUAGUACCGAAGCUAUGGAUAUAUCUCGCAAGAGAUCUGUGGUAGGGGAGAUCGGAAUUCCUGGUGUAGCGGUGAAAUGCGCAGAUAUCAGGAGGAACACCGGUGGCGAAGGCGGAUCUCUGGGCCAUUACUGACGCUGAGGAGCGAAAGCGUGGGGAGCGAACAGGAUUAGAUACCCUGGUAGUCCACGCCGUAAACGUUGGGAACUAGGUGUUGGCGACAUUCCACGUCGUCGGUGCCGCAGCUAACGCAUUAAGUUCCCCGCCUGGGGAGUACGGCCGCAAGGCUAAAACUCAAAGGAAUUGACGGGGGCCCGCACAAGCAGCGGAGCAUGUGGCUUAAUUCGACGCAACGCGAAGAACCUUACCAAGGCUUGACAUACAUCAGAAAGCUCUGGAGACAGAGCCCCCCUUGUGGCUGGUGUACAGGUGGUGCAUGGCUGUCGUCAGCUCGUGUCGUGAGAUGUUGGGUCAAGUCCCGCAACGAGCGCAACCCCUGUUCUGUGUUGCCAGCAUGCCUUUCGGGGUGAUGGGGACUCACAGGAGACCGCCGGGGUCAACUCGGAGGAAUGUGGGGACGACGUCAAGUCAUCAUGCCCCUUAUGUCUUGGGCUGCACACGUGCUACAAUGGCCGGUACAAUGAGCUGCGAUGCCGUGAGGUGGAGCGAAUCUCAAAAAGCCGGUCUCAGUUCGGAUUGGGGUCUGCAACUCGACCCCAUGAAGUCGGAGUUGCUAGUAAUCGCAGAUCAGCAUUGCUGCGGUGAAUACGUUCCCGGGCCUUGUACACACCGCCCGUCACGUCACGAAAGUCGGUAACACACGAAGCCGGUGGCCCAACCCCUUGUGGGAGGGAGUCGUCGAAGGUGGGACUGGCGAUUGGGACGAAGUCGUAACAAGGUA